ACAUGUGUAGUGCUUUUCGGAGUUACAAGAGACUAGGUGGACAAUCUAAGGGAACUAAAUUAACAUGGAUUCCAGCACAGUGUGCUCAACAACCGGGAUCACUAGAUUGUGGCUACUACGUCAUGCGUUUUAUGUACGACAUAAUAAUGAAUCAUGGUAAUAGUCAAGAUCUUACUAAGGAUUUUUCAAGAACAUUGCCUUAUUCAGCGGAGGAGAUUAAUGAGGUGAAAGAUUUUUGGGCAGAUUACUUCAUGAACAAUGUCGAAUUUUUAGCUUAAUUUGUAAUAUGAACUUGAUCUCUAGCUAGCUACGUACCUUUGUUGUAAUAAUUUUAUGUUUGUUGUAACAUGUUGGUUGAUCGAUCUAUGACGAAUUUAAUUGCCUUUUAUUGGGAACGUUAAUUACGUUGUAAACUUUUGUGACAGGUAUUAAUUAUAAAUGUAUUCCCGGUAUUGGGAAUGAA